AGGAAAAGAAACCAACAGGGAUUGCCUUAGUAGCGGCGAGUGAAGCGGCAAAAGCUCAAAUUUGAAAUCUGGCACUUUCAGUGUCCGAGUUGUAAUUUGAAGAAGGUAUCUUUGGGUCUGGCUCUUGUCUAUGUUUCUUGGAACAGAACGUCACAGAGGGUGAGAAUCCCGUGCGAUGAGAUGUCCCAGACCUAUGUAAAGUUCCUUCGAAGAGUCGAGUUGUUUGGGAAUGCAGCUCUAAGUGGGUGGUAAAUUCCAUCUAAAGCUAAAUAUUGGCGAGAGACCGAUAGCGAACAAGUACAGUGAUGGAAAGAUGAAAAGAACUUUGAAAAGAGAGUGAAAAAGUACGUGAAAUUGUUGAAAGGGAAGGGCUUGAGAUCAGACUUGGUAUUUUGUAUGUUACUCUCUCGGGGGUGGCCUCUACAGUUUACCGGGCCAGCAUCAGUUUGAGCGGUAGGAUAAGUGCAAAGAAAUGUGGCACUGCUUCGGUAGUGUGUUAUAGUCUUUGUCGAUACUGCCAGCUUAGACUGAGGACUGCGGCUUCGGCCUAGGAUGUUGGCAUAAUGAUCUUAAGUCGCCCGUC
rnacentral:rRNA from 1 species